rnacentral:rRNA from 1 species
CCUACGGGAGGCAGCAGUGGGGAAUUUUGGACAAUGGGCGAAAGCCUGAUCCAGCAAUGCCGCGUGAGUGAAGAAGGCCUUCGGGUUGUAAAGCUCUUUUGUCAGGGAAGAAACGGUGAGGGCUAAUAUCUCUUGCUAAUGACGGUACCUGAAGAAUAAGCACCGGCUAACUACGUGCCAGCAGCCGCGGUAAUACGUAGGGUGCAAGCGUUAAUCGGAAUUACUGGGCGUAAAGCGUGCGCAGGCGGUUUUUGUAAGUCUGAUGUGAAAUCCCCGGGCUCAACCUGGGAAUUGCAUUGGAGACUGCAAGGCUAGAAUCUGGCAGAGGGGGGUUAGAAUUCCACGUGUAGCAGUGAAACGCGUAGAUAUGUGGAGGAACACCGAUGGCGAAGGCAGCCCCCUGGGUCAAGAUUGACGCUCAUGCACGAAAGCGUGGGGAGCAAACAGGAUUAGAUACCCUGGUAGUCCACGCCCUAAACCGAUGUCUACUAGUUGUCGGGUCUUAAUUGACUUGGUAACGCAGCUAACGCGUGAAGUAGACCGCCUGGGGAGUACGGUCGCAAGAUUAAAACUCAAAGGAAUUGACGG